CCGGGAACGUUCUGCAAAGGUAGUCACUGGUUUCUUUUCAGAAUGCUUGUUUUCGUGUUUCAACGGCGGUCAACCGAAUGGUGAAUGUACUGCCUGCAAGAACUGCUUGACCGAUCCUUUUCUCGCAAGAAUCUAUACCGCCACGCGUCAUCAGUGUCCUCAAACUUGCAAUUGUGGUAUAUGUCGAGACAUGGCGAAAAGUUCUAUUAGUAAAAGAGUACAAAAAGCGGGUACUUUGU